rnacentral:rRNA from 1 species
CCUACGGGGGGCUGCAGUCGAGAAUAUUGGACAAUGGGCGAAAGCCUGAUCCAGCGACAUUGCGUGGAGGAUGAAGACGUUCGCGCCGUAAACUCCUUUUAUAGGGAAAGAAGUAAUUGACGGUACCCUAUGAAUAAGCGGGGGCUAAUUCUGUGCCAGCAGCAGCGGUAAUACAGAACCCGCAAGCGUUAUCCGGAUUUAUUGGGCGUAAAGUGUUCGUAGGCGGUUCGGAAAGUCUGAUAUCAAAUAUCCGGGCUCAACCCGGGGCGAGUAUUGGAAACUUCCGAACUUGAAGGUGCUAGGGGCUAUCGGAACGCACGGUGUAGGGGUGAAAUCCGUUGAUAUCGUGCGGAACACCAAAAGCGAAGGCAGAUAGCUGGGGCAUUCUUGACGCUGAGGAACGAAAGCGUGGGGAGCAAAAAGGAUUAGAUACCCCGGUAGUC